AGGUUAACCGAAUAGGGGAGCCGAAGGGAAACCGAGUCUUAACCGGGCGUUAAGUUGCAGGGUAUAGACCCGAAACCCGGUGAUCUAGCCAUGGGCAGGUUGAAGGUUGGGUAACACUAACUGGAGGACCGAACCGACUAAUGUUGAAAAAUUAGCGGAUGACUUGUGGCUGGGGGUGAAAGGCCAAUCAAACCGGGAGAUAGCUGGUUCUCCCCGAAAGCUAUUUAGGUAGCGCCUCGUGAAUUCAUCUCCGGGGGUAGAGCACUGUUUCGGCAAGGGGGUCAUCCCGACUUACCAACCCGAUGCAAACUGCGAAUACCGGAGAAUGUUAUCACGGGAGACACACGGCGGGUGCUAACGUCCGUCGUGAAGAGGGAAACAACCCAGACCGCCAGCUAAGGUCCCAAAGUCAUGGUUAAGUGGGAAACGAUGUGGGAAGGCCCAGACAGCCAGGAUGUUGGCUUAGAAGCAGCCAUCAUUUAAAGAAAGCGUAAUAGCUCACUGGUCGAGUCGGCCUGCGCGGAAGAUGUAACGGGGCUAAACCAUGCACCGAAGCUGCGGCAGCGACACUGUGUGUUGUUGGGUAGGGGAGCGUUCUGUAAGCCUGUGAAGGUGUGCUGUGAGGCAUGCUGGAGGUAUCAGAAGUGCGAAUGCUGACAUAAGUAACGAUAAAGCGGGUGAAAAGCCCGCUCGCCGGAAGACCAAGGGUUCCUGUCCAACGUUAAUCGGGGCAGGGUGAGUCGACCCCUAAGGCGAGGCCGAAAGGCGUAGUCGAUGGGAAACAGGUUAAUAUUCCUGUACUUGGUGUUACUGCGAAGGGGGGACGGAGAAGGCUAUGUUGGCCGGGCGACGGUUGUCCCGGUUUAAGCGUGUAGGCUGGUUUUCCAGGCAAAUCCGGAAAAUCAAGGCUGAGGCGUGAUGACGAGGCACUACGGUGCUGAAGCAACAAAUGCCCUGCUUCCAGGAAAAGCCUCUAAGCAUCAGGUAACAUCAAAUCGUACCCCAAACCGACACAGGUGGUCAGGUAGAGAAUACCAAGGCGCUUGAGAGAACUCGGGUGAAGGAACUAGGCAAAAUGGUGCCGUAACUUCGGGAGAAGGCACGCUGAUAUGUAGGUGAAGUCCCUCGCGGAUGGAGCUGAAAUCAGUCGAAGAUACCAGCUGGCUGCAACUGUUUAUUAAAAACACAGCACUGUGCAAACACGAAAGUGGACGUAUACGGUGUGACGCCUGCCCGGUGCCGGAAGGUUAAUUGAUGGGGUCAGCGCAAGCGAAGCUCUUGAUCGAAGCCCCGGUAAACGGCGGCCGUAACUAUAACGGUCCUAAGGUAGCGAAAUUCCUUGUCGGGUAAGUUCCGACCUGCACGAAUGGCGUAAUGAUGGCCAGGCUGUCUCCACCCGAGACUCAGUGAAAUUGAACUCGCUGUGAAGAUGCAGUGUACCCGCGGCAAGACGGAAAGACCCCGUGAACCUUUACUAUAGCUUGACACUGAACAUUGAGCCUUGAUGUGUAGGAUAGGUGGGAGGCUUUGAAGUGUGGACGCCAGUCUGCAUGGAGCCGACCUUGAAAUACCACCCUUUAAUGUUUGAUGUUCUAACGUGGACCCGUGAUCCGGGUUGCGGACAGUGUCUGGUGGGUAGUUUGACUGGGGCGGUCUCCUCCUAAAGAGUAACGGAGGAGCACGAAGGUUGGCUAAUCCUGGUCGGACAUCAGGAGGUUAGUGCAAUGGCAUAAGCCAGCUUGACUGCGAGCGUGACGGCGCGAGCAGGUGCGAAAGCAGGUCAUAGUGAUCCGGUGGUUCUGAAUGGAAGGGCCAUCGCUCAACGGAUAAAAGGUACUCCGGGGAUAACAGGCUGAUACCGCCCAAGAGUUCAUAUCGACGGCGGUGUUUGGCACCUCGAUGUCGGCUCAUCACAUCCUGGGGCUGAAGUAGGUCCCAAGGGUAUGGCUGUUCGCCAUUUAAAGUGGUACGCGAGCUGGGUUUAGAACGUCGUGAGACAGUUCGGUCCCUAUCUGCCGUGGGCGCUGGAGAACUGAGGGGGGCUGCUCCUAGUACGAGAGGACCGGAGUGGACGCAUCACUGGUGUUCGGGUUGUCAUGCCAAUGGCACUGCCCGGUAGCUAAAUGCGGAAGAGAUAAGUGCUGAAAGCAUCUAAGCACGAAACUUGCCCCGAGAUGAGUUCUCCCUGACCCUUUAAGGGUCCUGAAGGAACGUUGAAGACGACGACGUUGAUAGGCCGGGUGUGUAAGCGCAGCGAUGCGUUGAGCUAACCGGUACUAAUGAACCGUGAGGCUUAACCUU
rnacentral:rRNA from 1 species